CAAAAACCCUGACCUGGCCCAAAUAACCCAACUAAAGACCGCAAUCCCUUCCCCAUUUUCAUUCAAUCAAAUUCUGAACCACAUAAGCGCCGCCUCUAGGACGUCGGGAAAAGACCGGCACGACCUCUGCUAUCGCCGUAGUUGUCUCCUCCACCCUCUCACGCCUCUUUGAAGCUUCUCACAGUUACAAAUAGCGAAUAGACCUCAAGAAGGAACACAACGACACUAAUGAUUUCUCCUUCUAACUCAACAGAUAAAAGAUUUUUCUAAGGUCCAUGGAUGAAUUCAACAUUCAACAGCCCCCCAAUGGCUCCAAAUAGCUAUGAAAAAUUGUUUGCUACUGUGUUGAUUCAAUGAAUUACUUCGGAAGCUGAGAUGAAAAUUAAGAAGGAUUGGAAGUUGUCAGAAGAACAAGGACAAAUUUCUAUAGAGAUAGAUAGAACGCUCCAAGAACAAAUGAUAUUAAAAGUGGACAAAGAGAUUAAAAGUGGUGGAUUCUAUAAUGUCGAGAAUUCAACAGGGGCAAGGUUCUUGCAUUAUCUCAAAAGCCAUCGACAAAGGAGGGGAGCUUGAAGACACUUAGUAGUUAAUUUUCUUUUUCAUUUGUGUAUAUGCAUAAAUGACAUUGAACAAUGAAUUAUUGUGAAUUAUAUAUUUUGUUGAUUUUUUUAGUAAUAGAAGUACUUGUUAUAUC